AUGAGUAGGGAUAACCUGAGGAAGAGGCACAUUAUCAAGCCGUUAGAUUGUGUAUUCUGUGCCAAAAAUGAAACAAAUCACCACCUAUUCUUUGACUAUGUAGUAGCCAAGAGUAUUUGGUCUUUUGUCAACUGCUUUUUCCAUAAGGAGCUAGGCACUAAUUUUGAGUUUGUUGCUCGUUUUUGGAUUUCUAACAAGCAGAAUUUAGCUUUAAAUAUAGUUAGCUCUGCUGUCCUAUGGUGUUUACGGAAAUAUAGGAACUCUAUGAUUUUUAACAACACCAUUUGGACCUCUAUUACCCAUGUGUGGGGUCUGAUACACAGAAUGCUCAAAUUCUGGGUGAUCUUGACUCCGGAAGCAAGCAAAUCCUAGGAGGAGGCGUUCUUGGAUGCUCUGGCAAAAAUGCUCUAUCAACCCUUACUGAUACUGAGUGGCUGA
rnacentral:rRNA from 1 species